rnacentral:rRNA from 1 species
GACUAGCUGAGAGAGGUGCAUGGCCGUCGUCAGUUCGUACUGUGAAGCAUCCUGUUAAGUCAGGCAACGAGCGAGACCCACGCCAACAGUUGCCAGCUCGUCCUCCGGGAUGGUGGGGACACUGUGGGACCGCCGCUGCUAAAGCGGAGGAAGGAAUGGGCAACGGUAGGUCAGUAUGCCCCGAAUAUCCCGGGCUACACGCGAGCUACAAUGGUUGGUACAAUGGGUAUCUACCCCGAAAGGGGACGGGAAUCUCCUAAAACCAAUCUUAGUUCGGAUUGAGGGCUGCAACUCGCCCUCAUGAAGCUGGAAUCCGUAGUAAUCGCGUUUCAACAGAACGCGGUGAAUACGUCCCUGCUCCUU